GUUUGGACUCGUCAUGAUGUUAUAGUUAACAACGUCACGCUGAUUGGACGAGACUGUUGAAAAUGGAUGGCAGCAUGUACAAUUAACCAAAGGAAAAAGGGAGAGGAGAUCCCGCUGAAGAGGAAGGGAAAGGAGAGAAAACUGAGAACCCUUACCAUCUCCAGAAAAAGCUGCUUUGUGUGCGUGUGUGUGUGUGUGUGUGUGUGUGUGUGUGUGUGUGUGUGUGUGUGUGUGUGUGUGUGUGAAGAUACUUUAAAGCCCAUUUAAAAGAUGUCCACUGUUUAUUCUGUGUACAGCUGUACAUUGUUUGCAUUCAGACAUACAUCAUGGUUUCCCACAUUAUUAGAUAAGCGGGAAGGCUCACUUGGUAAUACUACAUCUUGCCAGAAGUUUCCCAAACGUUUUCCAUCUUUUCUUGGGCCAGCAUGUAUUUAUAAAAACCAGCCCUGCCCUCUAUUCUAAGGAGCGUCCCUGAAAAACAAAGGGUACUUUCUUUUGUCUUAUUAUUGAUUGAGGUG